rnacentral:rRNA from 1 species
CCGGACCUGACUGCUAUCGGAUUGGUACUAAGCCAUGCGAGUCAUUGUAGCAAUACAAGGCGGACGGCUCAGUAACACGUAGUCAACCUAACUCGUGGACGUGGAUAACCUCGGGAAACUGAGAAUAAACCACGAUAGAUCAUAGUGCCUGGAAUGGCUUAUGGUCCAAACAGUUUACUGCCAUGGGAUGGGACUGCGGCCUAUCAGCUUGUUGGUGAGGUAAUGGCCCACCAAGGCGAUUACAGGUACGGGCUCUGAGAGGAGAAGCCCGGAGAUGGGUACUGAGACACGGACCCAGGCCCUAUGGGGCGCAGCAGGCGAGAAACCUUAGCAAUGUGCGAAAGCACGACUGGGUCAGUCCGAGUGAUUCCUGAUAAAGGAGUCUUUUGCCUGUCCUAAAAGCACAGGUGAAUAAGGGGUGGGCAAGUCUGGUGUCAGCCGCCGCGGUAAUACCAGCACCUCGAGUGGUCAGGACGUUUAUUGGGCCUAAAGCAUCCGUAGCCGGCUCUGCGAGUCUUCGGUUAAAUCCACCUGCUCAACAGAUGGGCCGCUGGAGAUACUACAGAGCUAGGGAGUGGGAGAGGCAGACGGUAUUCAGUGGGUAGGGGUAAAAUCCUCUGAUCCAUUGAGGACCACCAGUGGCGAAGGCGGUCUGCCAGAACACGUUCGACGGUGAGGGAUGAAAGCUGGGGGAGCAAACCGGAUUAGAUACCCGGGUAGUCCCAGCUGUAAACGAUGCAAACUCGGUGAUGCAUUGGCUUAUGGCCAAUGCAGUGCCGCAGGGAAGCCGUUAAGUUUGCCGCCUGGGAAGUACGGACGCAAGUCUGAAACUUAAAGGAAUUGGCGGGGGAGCACACAAGGGUGAAGCCUGCGGUUCAUUGGAUUCAACGCCGG